rfam:Pelodiscus sinensis unplaced genomic scaffold scaffold76, whole genome shotgun sequence.
AAGUGUUCCCAUGUUCCGUGGACGCCCAAACAAGACAGAUCUGGGGAGUUUACUCUAUUAUUUUACCGUAAAUCUUUGAAACUCUGGAACUAAUUAUGCAGAGGAUAUGUCUCAAUUUGUUCUGCAUUAAUGCCACAUUGGGGCUGGAGUCAGGGCCACAGCCAGAGCAGAUACUCGAGCACAUGAAAUUGAUGAACUGAGACUUGCGGCUAGUCCCGAACACGCCAUCUGGAAUUCCAGUCUGAGGUUACAAUUAGAACUUCUGACCCCAGAUUCAACUUUGUGGAGAAG